AUGGGCCUCCCAAGGUGCUGGGAUUACAGGCGUGAGCCACCACGCCUGGGCCAAGUUUCUGUUUCUAUGGAGGAAAGCAAACAUGAAUUGUCGCUGGUCACGCAUUGUACAAUCAUUCCAAAAACAACAGCAGCAAUAACUCAAACCUCAGAUUGUUUUAUUUGAGCCACAGGUGAGUCUCUAAGUGAAGACCUAGUUUAAAAUACUGCAAAGCUGAGUGUUUAAAAAAGCAUCGAUCUGGAAUCAGUGAAAGCAACAACCUGUAAUAGCUGGAGGCAGCAGAGAGUGACAUUCAAUUAAGUACUUUCAUUAAUCAUUUAUAAAAUUAAUCCUUAGAACUCGAUGAUAAUGUAUUAAAAUGAAGUGCUGAUUAGGACUGACCCCGUGGCAGUUCCUUCAGGAAGUAAGGAAUAAAUAAAAUUUUUCAUUUAGGCAAUGUUCCAGCUACUAUUGAUGGUACUUGUACCUAAGAGGAUUCCUUACGGGAACAGCAAACAUAAAUAGAAGCAGGUGAUGACCAGACCCUGUGGUACAGUAGCUAAGAGAUGCAACAACCAUACCUCACUAAUUUUGACUAAUUAGAAAGAAAUUCAGAUUGAAUUUGCAAAGUCUGAUUAUACAAUAUGUAAUGUGAUUGUCCUACUUUUCCUUUUUGUGAUUAUACAAAUCAGUUUUUAAAUCUGACAUAGUUGAGUUUUUCAAGGCAUUGUCAAUGGCUUCUGUUCUAUCCAUUGAAUUUUACCUCUGUAACAGAUACAAUGUAAGAGUCAUUUAACAAUUUUUGAACACCUAUUAUGUGCCAACUACUGUGGUAGGCUCUUUACAUCCAUCAUUUAUUUCACAUUUGUACUAAUCCUUAGAUAGGCUUUAGUCCAAUUUUACUGAUUAAAAAGUAGGGCAACCCUACUAGAAAUGUCAGGACCAGAAUUUGAACCAAGUUCUUCCUGUGGCCCAAGUCCAUGCCCCUUCCAUUAUGUUGCACCAUCUUCCAUGAGUGUAAAAGUAAUAUAGGCCAAGGAUUCCACGUCUCAAUGUGGUACAAAUUGUUGAUUCUUUCAUCUUCUCCUUAUUGCUUGUUUUAAAAAUAUACUAGCCAAGGUAAGGGAAUGAGUAGAAUAAUAUCGGAAUAACUGAGGGACUCCCUUAGGAAGUCCUAAUCAUUUUUGUAUUUAUGUUUAGUAUAAUCAACAACCCAACAAAACAUGUUCAUUAUUAUCUUGGACAGUAUAUGUUCACUUACUACCAUUACUUUACUUAGAUGGAAACUGCAGCCUAGGCAUUAUAUGAAUGCCAUCACCCUUGUAAUGGUGGCAUCCUAAUUAAUGAGGUUUAAAAUGUUAUAAGCUAAAUUCUUUCCUCGUAAGUGUGCAGAUGUAUAUAGGAAGAGCUUAAAGCAUUAUUGUCAGCCUAAGGGUAGGGGUAGACCUGUUCCCUGAAAACACUAUUAAAAAGUACCCUUUUGUGAUUUGUUGUGGAUUAUAUCCGAUAAAGAAAAAGCAUUUCCUCAAAUUGCUCAGGUAUUUCAUUAAAACUCAUCUGCUACUGGACAGUGAGUUGUUUCAAUGGGUAGAAGCAUAGACAACCUGGAGUGCUAUGUAUAUCCUUUAAUAGUAUUUCCUUAAAAAUUGUUAAACUUUGUUUGUGGAAAAUCUAUGGAGUUUAACUUAGUCUCUGUAAAUAUGGCCUCCAUUAUGCUAGAAUAUGAGCCCCUGGAUCUCAUAGAAUUCUUUUUCAUACUUGUGUUCCUUGUAGUGCAGUACCUAGAAUAAUAGGUGAUACAUGAUUAUUAAGAUGAAUUAAAGUUAUAUGCUUUAUAUAUAUGUCAAUACUAUAUAUAUAUGAAUAGAUUGAUAUACAUAUCAAUCAAGGAAAGGUGCAUAAGUUCAAUUAUGUUACAUACAGAUGAGAAUAUUAUUAAGAAUAUUAUCAAGACAUACUCAAGACUGCAUAAUUUAUAAAGAAAAGAGGUUUAAUGGACUCACAGUUCUACAUGGCUGGAGAGGCCUUAUAAUCAUGGCAGAAGAUAAAGGAAGAGCAAACGGAUGUCUUACAUGGCGGCAGGCAAGAGGGAGCAUGUGCAGAGGAACUCCUCUUUAUUAAACCAUCAGAUACCAUGAGACUUAUUCACUGUCACAAGAUCAGCCCUAGAAAAACCCACCUGCAUGAUUCAGUUACCUCCCACAGGGUCCAUUCCAUGACACGUAGGGAUUAUUACAAUUCAAGGUGUGAUUUGGGUGGGGACACAGAGCCAAAACAUAUCAGGUGCUUAUUCAUAUAUUUGUCUAUAUAUCCAUCCUUUCAUAUGUUUGUAUGCCAUCUGCAUAUUCAUUCAUCAAAGAAAACUUCCAGUUAAAAAAAUUAGAUAAUGUUUUUGAUUUAGUAAUAAGAAAAUUGCUUUAUUUUUCUUUGUUGUAAUGUUAUUUAUAAGCUUAAUACAAUUUAAUUUUCAAAACAAGAUAAACUCUUACCUGAUUACUAAUGAUUAUAAAAAUUAGAUAGGAAAUAAUUACUGCUGGUUUCCUAAAAUAUGUCACAAUAACUUGAAGAUUGAAUUUCUAUUAAUCAUUUCAGUUGUAUAUAAAGCGUGCAUCACUUAAGAAGCAAAGAAUAAUAAUCUAUAAUUUCUUCCUACACCUCUAAAUCCCCAAUUUAAAACAACUACAGGAACAGGAGCUGCUUUUUGCAACAGUAAUUAUGACCCUAGUGAUAACAUGAACACUGCUGUAUUCUUUUUUUUUUUUUUUUUUUUUUGAGACGGAGUCUCGCUCUGUCGCCCAGGCUGGAGUGCAGUGGCCGGAUCUCAGCUCACUGCAAGCUCCGCCUCCCGGGUUUACGCCAUUCUCCUGCCUCAGCCUCCCCAGUAGCUGGGACUACAGGCGCCCGCCACCUCGCCUGGCUAGUUUUUUGUAUUUUUUAGUGGGCCGGGCGCGGUGGCUCAAGCCUGUAAUCCCAGCACUUUGGGAGGCCGAGACGGGCGGAUCACGAGGUCAGCAGAUCGAGACCAUCCUGGCUAACCCGGUGAAACACUGCUGUAUUCUUAUCCUUUAAAUAAAAAAACAAAUGUCAUUACAGGUUCUGGAAGAUGAGCUUGUGCUAUACCAAUGAGUAAAUUAUCUAGGAUCCCACUUAUUUUGUGAGGCAUCUUUCUUUUUUUUAUAUUUUUAUGGGGGUUGGGAAAGUGGCUGAGUAUUUUUCCUGAAGUUAAAAUAUGAGGCUCUGUACUCCUCUUCACAUUUGAGUUCAUAAGUAAUGAGAACAUCCUUAUUUUACUUUUCAGUACUCAACAGUAAAGUCAACGUGUGUUUAUGGAAUACCUACAAAUUGACCAACUAAUACUAAGCAAUUAAAGAAUACAGAGAUGAAAUUAGGACUAUUGCCUCCUAGAAUUUUUCCAUAUUGUUGGAAAGACAAACUAUGCAGAAUAAAUGAAAUAUAAUGAUCUAAGUAUUUUCCCAUAUACUGCUGUGAUUUACAUGUGGUUAUAAAAUCUAGCAUAGAAGUCUCUUUUUGAGAUAUUUUUGGGUUAAAUUGCUCAUUCUUUUAAUAAGUGGUUCUUUAUUGAUGUGCAAUUUGCUGGUUAUUAUUUGUCAAAUAAAGCAUGGAAAUUCCCCAAGUUAGGAGAAGGAGAAGACGACUUUCUGAUAGCUUCAAGCUGGGCUGCUACUGGCUCUAUUGGAAAACAGUUUUCCAGAGGACAGGAGCACAUAACUAACAUACCAAAAUGACUUAUUUGCACGAUAGUAUAUGUUGAAUUUGUGGUUGUUCAAGUAAAUUAAGAAAGAAGUCAUUCAUGGAUUCAACAAAUAUUUAUUGACUUCCUGUUAUGUGCAAGGCACUAUGCAUGAUGCAAAAAAAAAAAAAUCACUGGUCAAGCCAACAGAGAGCACUCUUUGCUUUCAUGGCCCUUACAAUGUGAUAAUGGAGAUAGACAGAAAAUAUUUCAAGAAAUAAGUGAUAGGAAGAAAAAGAUUAGAUGGUAUGGAAGGGAAUAACAGGAGACUGACUUAGAAGGUUUCCCUCGGCUGGGCGCGGUGGCUCAAGCCUGUAAUCCCAGCACUUUGGGAGGCUGAGACGGGCGGAUCACGAGGUCAGGAGAUCGAGACCAUCCUGGCUAACCCGGUGAAACCCCGUGUCUACUAAAAAAUACAAAAAACUAGGCAGGCGAGGUGGCGGGCGCCUGUAAUCCCAGCUACUCGGGAGGCUGAGACAGGAGAAUGGCGUAAACCCGGGAGUCGGAGCUUGCAGUGAGCUGAGAUCUGCCCACUGCACUCCAGCCUGGGCGACAGAACCAGACUCCGUCUCAAUUAAAAAAAAAAAAAAAAAAACAAAACAAGAAGGUUUCCCUGAAGAAUUGAUAUUUAAAAUGAAACCUAAAGAAUCAGUAAGUGUUAAGUAAGUGAAGAGUAAAAAGGCAAAACAUUAGCAGGUGUAAAAGCCAAAAAUGAAAAAAGAACUUGAUAUAUUCACAGAAUUGAAAGAUGCAUAAGAAAAAAAAAAGUCAUAGUGGCUAUUGCAUAAGUCAGAAAGAAGGUCAGUGAGACAACACUUCAGGAAAAAUCACAUGCAAGAGGGUACAGUCACAUAAACAUUUUGGAGAAUGUCUAGGGGACACACAAUAAAUAGCACCUCAUUGUUAUCCGAUUCUGGACAAACAUGGGGAAAUGUUAGGGAAAACAUGGAAGCCAAAACAUCUGCUUAGUGUGAGAGCCAAAUGGGCUCACACCCUAACCCCAAGAAUGAUAGACACUGUUAGCCCAUCCAUAAGAAGGGCUGGAGCAAAGAAAGGCUACCACAGUGAGGCAGGUGAAAAGAGGAGUGAGCAGAGAAGAGCAUGCCAGCUUAUUCUUCCCACACUACCACCCAGAUACGUCUCUCCAUUCUCUCAAGAGUGGAGAAAAUAAAGGAGCAGGAGAAGCUCAGACUUAUAGCAAACCUGAGCCCCCUCACAGGAUGGAAAAAAUGUUGGCAAAGAAACAUGGCAGAAAUAUUAUACAGUUUGGAUAUUCUAAAUUAAUGUUAAUGUUUUAAGGAAGAAUACAUUAUCCAAUAUAUAUCAUUAAAAGAGUACUUCAAAGCCUCCAUGCAAAGGUGUUAAAAAGCAAAAAAGCCCAGGCCCAGUGGCUCACACCUGUAAUCUUAGCACUUUGGGAGGCUGAGGUAAGAGGAUUGCUUGAGUCCAGGAGUUUGAGACCAGCCUGGACAACACUGCAAGACCUUGUCUCAAAAUAUUCAUAAAAAAUUACCCAGGUAUGGUGGCACACACCUGUAGUCCCAUAUGCUCAUGAGGCUAGGCAGGAGGAUCACUUGAGCUCAAGAGUUUGAGGUGACAAUGGGCUAUGAUCGUACUAUUGCACUCCAACCUGGGUGAUAGAGACUGAUCCUGUCUAAAAGAAAUGAAAAGAAAGAGGAAGAAAGAAGGGAGGGAGGGAAGGAAGGAAGGAAGGAAGGAAGGGGGAAAGGGAAAAGAAAAAGAUGAGUGAAUAUUAUUGAGGACUAAGUGAUUUCAAAUUACCAAAAUUGAUGCAUAUUUACAUUUAACCUGGCUUCAGAGAAUAUUAUUUAUGACUAAAUCAUAUCAAGUCACUUUUAUUAGUGCAUGCUUAUACUAAAUAUAGCAUUUGAGAGUGGUAAGCACACACAAACAGAUACACACACACACAACCUAUAGAAUUAAUCACCUCAUCUAGCACAGAGGCAUUGACACAUAAAAAAUAAAGACCAUAGGUGUCUUAGUUCAUUCAGGAUUCUUUAACAAAAUACCAUAAGCUUGGUACCUUAUAAAUAACAGAAAAUUACUUCUCACAGUUUCUAGAGGCUGAGAACUUGAAGAUCAAAGUGGACUUGAUGUCCAAUGAGGACCGAUCUUCUUGCUGUAACCUAACAUGGUGGAAGGGUCUAGCUAGCUCUCUGCAGUUGGUGAAUAGUGUCCCCCGCUUUUUUAUAAGGGCACUAAUCCCCUAAUGGGGGUUCCGUCUUCAUUAUCUAGCCACCUCCUAAAGACCCCAUCUCCUAACACCAUCAGCUUGAAUGUUAGUAUUCAACACAUGGAUUUUCAGGGACACAAAUAUUUAUACCAUAGCAACAGGAAUAAAAAUAAGCAAAUACAUAUAUUUUUUUACUAUGUGCUAAGCAAUGUUCUAAGUACUUUACAAAUAUCAACUUAUUUAAUCCACUUAAUCUAAUGAAAUACAUAUUAUGAUUUUUUUUCAUUCUCACUUUACAGAUAAGGCUUUUAACAUUAGAGGAAUGGAGAAUUUUGCCUAUGGUUGGACAGGUAGUAACUAGUAGAGGUAGGAUUUAUCUCCACGGCUCGUGAUUUUAGCCACUUUGCUACAGAUGGAUGAGGUAAGCUUAGGAGCAUUUGAGGAGCAGUUUGCAUUUUUUGUCUUUUUUUUUUCUUUUAGUACUUUGGGUAGAAAGGAUUAGUCAUAAAGAAUAUACUGUAAGCUGGGUAUGGUGGCAUGCACCUGUAGUCAUAGCUACUUAGGAGGCUGGAAGAUCGCUUGAGCCCAGGAGUUAGAGGCUUCAGUGAGCUGUGAGUGCACCAGCCUGGGUGACAGGGCAAGACUCUGUCUCUAGAAAGAAAAAAAAAGUUGAGGCUGCAGAAUAUAUGGUGGCAGGUGAAAAUGUAUUUUGCUCUAUGCAUAUUUGCCUAGAACAUUUUGUACAAUAAUAUUAUUAAUUUAGAAAGCUCUCAUAAAGACGUUAAAAAAUGUGGUGCCUGCAAUUUUUUUUUCGUGGAGUCUCUGAAGUGUUAAAUGAAUCUCCUUAGUCAAUUGGCAUGGGGGAUGAUUAUGUGUAGACUGAAGUAAAAUAUCCUAACACAUACUAUAUUAAAAUAGUCUUGUAUUUUGCAAUCACCUGUCAACUUAUUUGCCUCUAUUAAUGCAGCAGCCACUAUAACAGACACAGGUUGAAGUAAUUAGUGUUUAAAUUGUCUCUCAAAACUACUGUAUUUCCCCAUCACCCUCUAGAGGAGGUAGGUUUGAUGGUACAAUGCCAUGAAAGAAAGCUGCUUCUAAGAACUAUUAAACGGAGAUUUGUUUUGUUUUGUUUUGUUUUUUAUUACAAUGCUCUCCAUGGAUGAGGAUGCUUUUGUACAAUUCACACACGCUUUCCAGAUUGUUCUGGAACAUCUGAGAAAGACGUAUCAUUGAAACAACUUUCAUCCAUUUCAUGGGUAGAAAUUACUCUGGCUGCUAUGAAGAGAAAGAAUAUUCACUGAAAAUAUUUUGGAUGUCACCGGAUGCCCCUGUUUGAUGCUGCCCUGUGGAAGGAGUACUGUGUUUCAAAGUUGGGUGCAGUUGUAGAUGGUAAUUAAAGGCACAAAAGAGAUAAAGCUCUGAAGGACAAAUGAACUGAAGAAGAUGCAGUGAUUAUGACAAAAGUACUGGAUGCCCAAUUCUAUGCUUCAACAAGUUCACAAUUCUACUUCUCAAAAUGAUAAUAGAGGGCAAUUUAAUUAAAAGAUAAUGGAAUGAAUUAA